GAUGAACGCUGGCGGCGUGCCUAAUACAUGCAAGUCGAGCGAACAGACGAGGAGCUUGCUCCUCUGACGUUAGCGGCGGACGGGUGAGUAACACGUGGAUAACCUACCUAUAAGACUGGGAUAAAUUCGGGAAACCGGAGCUAAUACCGGAUAAUAUAUUGAACCGCAUGGUUCAAUAGUGAAAGACGGUUUUGCUGUCACUUAUAGAUGGAUCCGCGCCGCAUUAGCUAGUUGGUAAGGUAACGGCUUACCAAGGCAACGAUGCGUAGCCGACCGGAGAGGCUGAUUGGCCACACUGGAACUGAGACACGGUCCAGACUCCUACGGGAGGCAGCAGUAGGGAAUCUUCCGCAAUGGGCGAAAGCCUGACGGAGCAACGGCGCGUGAGUUAUGAAGGUCUUCGGAUCGUAAAACUCUGUUAUUAGGGAAGAACAAAUGUGUAAGUAACUAUGCACGGCUUGACGGUACCUAAUCAGAAAGCCACGGCUAACUACGUG
rnacentral:rRNA from 1 species